UUUCSGUAGGUGAACCUGCGGAAGGAUCAUUG
rnacentral:rRNA from 1 species